rnacentral:rRNA from 1 species
AUUGAACGCUGGCGGCAUGCUUUACACAUGCAAGUCGAACGGUAACAGGCCUUCGGGUGCUGACGAGUGGCGGACGGGUGAGUAAUGCAUCGGAACGUACCCAGAGGUGGGGGAUAACGCAGCGAAAGCUGUGCUAAUACCGCAUGUGAUCUGAGGAUGAAAGCGGGGGACCGAGCAGCAAUGUUUGGCCUCGCGCCUUUGGAGCGGCCGAUGUCGGAUUAGCUAGUUGGUGGGGUAAAGGCCUACCAAGGCGACGAUCCGUAGCUGGUCUGAGAGGACGACCAGCCACCCUGGUACUGAGACACGGCCCAGACUCCUACGGGAGGCAGCAGUGGGGAAUUUUGGACAAUGGGCGCAAGCCUGAUCCAGCAAUGCCGCGUGCGGGAAGAAGGCCUUCGGGUUGUAAACCGCUUUUGGCAGGAACGAAACGGUGUCCGCUAAUACCGGGCGCUAAUGACGGUACCUGCAGAAUAAGCACCGGCUAACUACGUG